rnacentral:rRNA from 1 species
UAUGUGAUCGUCUCUCGCAUAUCAAUAAGCGGAGGAAAAGAAGCUAACAAGGAUUCCCCUAGUAACGGCGAGUGAAGCGGGAAGAGCUCAAAUUUGAAAUCUUAAAGGGUUUCCCUUUACGAAUUGUAGUUUAAAGAAGUGUUUUCUGUUGAGGUUUUGGUAAAAGUUCUUUGGAAUAGGACAUCAUAGAGGGUGAGAAUCCCGUAUUUGACCUUUACUUUCAACUUUGUGAUACACUUUCAAAGAGUCGGAUUGUUUGGGAAUGCAGUCCAAAAUGGGUGGUAAAUUUCAUCUAAAGCUAAAUAUUGGCGAGAGACCGAUAGCGAACAAGUACCGUGAGGGAAAGAUGAAAAGGAACUUUGAAAAGAGAGUUAAACAGUACGUGAAAUUGUCAAAAGGGAAGCGUUUGACACCAGUGUUGUUUUUCUGAAAAUCAAUUAAAGAACUGUUUAUGCUAAGUUGUUUAGACUUUAUCAGCUAACUGUUUAGUUUUGAGCUUUUCUUUAAUGCACUUUUCAGUCAACAAGUCAACAUCAAUUUCUUUUGCUGUAAAAAAGCUUGAGGAAGGUGGCUUGAGAUUCGUCUUAAGUGUUUAUAGCCUCUUGCCUAUGCAGUCGGAGAGAUUGAGGUCUGCAGCGUAGAUCCUUCGGGGCUAAAUGCAUUUGUGCUAAGUUAUAGCAUUUUAUAGACAACUUGUUGACUAUGAUUUGUCUUGUAGCUUACUCGCUUAUGUUAUUUUACCUACGCUUAGGAUGUUGACUGAUAUGUAGUCGUA